rnacentral:rRNA from 1 species
CGGGUUUAACCGGACCCGGGGCGGGACGCGGCCUAGUGGCGGACGGGUGAGUAACGCGUGGGCAAUCUGCCCCGUACCGGGGGAUAACACCUGGAAACAGGUGCUAACACCGCAUGACAGGCGGGGGCGCAUGCCCCGGCCUUGAAAACUCCGGUGGUACGGGAUGAGCCCGCGUCCGAUUAGCCAGUUGGCGGGGUAACGGCCCACCAAAGCGACGAUCGGUAGCCGGCCUGAGAGGGUGGACGGCCACAUUGGGACUGAGACACGGCCCAAACUCCUACGGAAGGCAGCAG